rnacentral:rRNA from 1 species
UACGUAGGUGACCAGCGUUGUCCGGAUUUACUGGGCGUAAAGAGCGCGCAGGCGGUCGUUCAAGUCGAGUGUGAAAGCCCCCGGCUCAACUGGGGAGGGUCACGCGAUACUGCUCGACUUGAAGGCAGGAGAGGGAAGCGGAAUUCCCGGUGUAGUGGUGAAAUGCGUAGAUAUCGGGAGGAACACCAGUGGCGAAGGCGGCUUCCUGGCCUGUUCUUGACGCUGAGGCGCGAAAGCUAGGGUAGCAAACGGG